rnacentral:tRNA from 1 species
UUAUAAUAAAUUAAGAAGAAAUUAUUUAAUUUGCAAGAUUAAAAAUAACUAAAGAAAGGUUU